UACGUAGGGGGCAAGCGUUGUCCGGAUUUAUUGGGCGUAAAGAGCGUGUAGGCGGUUCGGUAGGUCCGUUGUGAAAACUCGAGGCUCAACCUCGAGACGCCGAUGGAAACCCCCGAACUAGAGUCCGGAAGAGGAGAGUGGAAUUCCCGGUGUAGCGGUGAAAUGCGCAGAUAUCGGGAAGAACACCCGUGGCUAAGGCGGCUCUCUAGUACGGUACUGACGCUGAGACGCGAAAGCGUGGGGAGCAAACAGG
rnacentral:rRNA from 1 species